UCUUUCUUUUUGUAUUUCUAGCAGUGGCAAAAAUAUUGGCACUAUCCCCCAGUGCCCAGAAACCAUGUCACUGCAAAUGGUAAAUGAAGUUUAGUCCUAAGGUGUGAUUCCAACGCCCUGAGUCACUCACCAAAGUGAGUGAGGCUGAAAUUCCCUCAUGUUAUAUCUCUGCUGUAAGUUAUGGUAUUGUCUCUUUGCUACAGAAGUUUUGAUUUUAUUCUCUAACACUACUUCCUUCUUGUUUUAAGGUUUGUUGUCCUUCUAGUUGUGUGAAUUUUCAGCCCACCCAACACUCUUCUGAGGUACCUGUUACUUGCAGCUUUUGCUUCAGCAUCCUAGAAGUUCAAGAGUCUUCUUGACUUCUAUAUUACGGGAGUUACUGCACUCAGAUAAACUGCAAUUCUAAAUAAUAAUCAGAUGCUUGAAAGAAUAUUUCAGCUGACAUCCCUCUGUGUUGUUAUUUUGUUUUACUAUUUCUAAAUAUUCUGUUAGGUUUCAGCUCCUAUAAACUAUUUAGAAGCAUCCUCCAGACUAGACUUUUGUCCAUAUUUAAAAAAAGAUAGUUUGCAUGGGUUGCAUGAGGUCAUGGGAUCACUGCUUUUGGGAUGAAGACUCCCUGAAGACUUAAGUGAGGCAGAGAACCUGACAGACUCACAAGGGCUAAAGGUAUUCAAAUUGUUAUGAUCUAACUCAUAACUGUCCUAAGAAGGAGUUAAGUAUAACAAAGAGGUGGGAAUUUCCAGGCCUGAGUUCUGCACCAGAGUUUUUAGAAUCAUCAUAAAUGCUUGUUUUUCCCAAAACACAAACACCCUUCUGACCUCUCUGAUCUUCUGACAUAAACUAAGAAACUUUUCAUGAUAAUCAGUCAAGUAUCAGUUCUAAAAAGCCAUUGCUGUGCAUUAUAGGCACUUAUGCACAUAAGAAAACAAAACAAAACAAGCGGCCUACCACUUUCCAGGAUUAAUGCUAUGAAGGAUUUUAUGGGUGGUCCAUAAGUGGACAGAAUGUUGCACUAAUGUGUGACUGCAUGGCAAUUAAGCUUAAUUAGGGAAGGUUUUGAAAAAGACAAUUAUGGGAAAGUAAAUUAUGGGAAUGAAAACAACUGUGCUUUUGGAGACCACACUCUGCCGCACUGGUUCAGCAAAGAGUUGCUAAAAAUGUUCCUGUUCUGUCAGGUUCUGACGCACAUCCAGCACUUUGUCAAACUGAGCGUUUUUCUUGAGAAGGGGGAAUCUCUUAGGAGCACAUUCUUCACACAGUCUCUGCUGAAUUCACUGGUUUCAUGAGCAGACAGCUGCAGUUCCAGAGUAAGAGCAGCAGCAGAUGACCCUGAAUCCAUGGCCAUCCGGUUUAGUUCAGCAUUGCCUCUUUUCUGCGUGGAGUAACAAAGUUACGAAGUUUAUUCGUAUGUGAAAGGUGUGACAAGGACGCUUCUCUCCACUGAAGGAUAUUGAAGUAAGUGUUGACAGAAACAUCACACAUAAAAGAGUGUUAAAAUGAAAACAGAGACAAGAGGAUGCUAAAUAGAGAAAAGAAGCAGGAUCUGGGAUUUGAUGGCUGACCAUGAACAGCUGUGCACAGGUAAUCCAGAUACAUGUCCUAAUACCUAAACUCCCCAGUUUAGGUGUAUAUUUACCUGAACUACUCAGAUAAAAAUUUGCAAAUGAGGUAUAUGUCCAAAAAUCACAAUCUUCUUCAGGCCAAAUGUUGUGGAAAUAUGUCAAAUUAAAAAUUAUAUUCCUAGAAAGGAUGCUUCAACACAACCCCUAGAUGGGAUCUAAUAUUUAGCAAAGUGCUGUAUCUGAAGAGAGAUCCCCUUAGCUGCAGAACCUUACAGGUCCCCUACUUGCUUCUGUCUCUGUAGCUGGAAAGUGAAGGCAAUCCUAAAGAGUUGCUGGCAUGUGGGGUAAUGAGAAAUUCCAGGGUCUGGAGGGAUCUGUGGCGACAACACUUGUGAGAGAAACUGGCACAAUCUCCUUGGCAGAGUUGUACCCAGCUCCCGUAGACUCACUUUUUGGUGGUGGUGAUCAGAUUUUGGUGGAAGUCUGAUGCAGUUGUGAAGCAGCAGGUGAACAAACCAUUUCUUCACAAAAAGUCUAAACCCAGCAUUUAUUACUUCCUCUUAGGUCACAGAAACAUCACUUGCCUUUCAGUUUGAAAAUAACCACGCCCUUUUCAUCCUCAUCUGCCUAAAACACUCUGUUCUACAUCUCUUUUGCACAUGCUGUAAAUCCCCUCCUCCAGCAGUAUUUCUGCUGUGUUCCUGCUGGCACCAUCUGCAGCAGCCAGACCUCUGGACAUUCCUGGGACAGACUCAGAGGGAAUUUUCUGAUUCAAAUUAGUAAGGGCAAAGGUCGGUAUUGCUUAGUUAAUAACAAGAAAAAUUCACCUGGAUUAGUACUGGCUCCUUAAUAGGAACCAACAGAGCAUCAAGAUUUGGCCUUCUAUGAUUUGGAUAGUUUCUAAAUGAUAUUUUUAUGUCAGAAUGAUGCCAUUUUGCUUGUUGGAAGACUAGGGAAAAGCAAAUUUUUACAGUUUGAGGAGAGCUGCAACAGCAGCUGGAGUUAUUCUGCCUCCUCUUUCCCCACAUUGCAAGCUUUCACAAAGCUUUAAAUCCAGAGAAAGUGAGCUGCCAAAGAAAAUACACUAGCAAAGUGGAUGAGACCAUUAUUCCCAGUUUUCUAGGAGAUAUGUUUCAGUCUGUGAGUUCUGUAUUUCUGCAAAAAUGUUUAAUAUUUAGAGGUGAAGGAACUCAAGUUUGCUGGUAUUUUUGAAAUAUUUUCUAACCUGCUCUUUUUCUUUUUCUUCCCACCUCCUUCCCUUUUUUGUGGCUUUCCAAUGUAAGUGGCCACAGCAAACCCCAGUUCAGGAUCCAGGAGGAAUCCUCCACUGCCAGCCUUAGGAGAACCUAGGUGACAGCCGCCGAAACGCCUUGAUCACACAGUCCCAGCACCCUGCCCUGCCAGCAGCAGAGGGAAAGUCCAGUUUCUGUUAAUAAGGUGCAGAGAGUGGCCAAAAUAUUUUGUGAAUUUUCUGGCUGAAAAGGGUAAUGAAGCUACCUCUGUCUCAGUGCACUGGCACAGGAGCAAACUAAACAACUGGGAAACAUGUUUCAGAGGAGAAAUACAGAGCACAUAUGUCUUGGAUUUCACACUUCCACUGGAGGCUGAGCUUUGCCUCUUUCUACCUCUUUUCCAGGCUGGCUGAACUCUUUUGCACAAAAAGUGAGCGAGAUGGGGGAGGGUGAGCAAGCUUUUCUGCAGAUUAGCUUCAGGCAGCUCUUGCCAGACCAAAAGUUACAUUGGAAAGCAUUUCUUACCAAAACAAUUAAUUUUUUAAUAUGUAAAGUAAAACCGGGAAGUUAUUCCCACAAAUUUGGUUUAAAAUCUACCUUUCUAUUAGCUUUGAGCAAAAGAAACCACACUGCUGAGAGCACAGUCAGAUUCUUUGGGCUCUCUUCAAAAAGCUCGCUCUUUUUGUCAUUCCUCUCUGACCUCCUCCCUGCUAGUCCCGGGAUGAAAAGCAAGCCAAAGAUCUGCUGAGAAAUGGGCCGAGCCACUGCUGACCUUUGCAAAUCCAAUUUCUUCAAAGCGAGAGCUAAUCGACGUGUUCCCACGCUAUGUAUUGCUGAAACUUACGAUGCAAUUCAAGGAAUGAAUUCACCAUGGUGCAAUCUCAUUUUGAAUCCAGUUUUCUUGUUAUGUGUCAGAGGGUGAAGGAGGCAGAGUGUGGUACAAGUUAUAGAGAGCAGUCACAACUAAGAUUCACAUACUAUGUAAGUCUGUCUUUGAAAGAUUUUGCACUUUGGAUGGGCUCUUUCACUUAAAAUCUAAAAUACAUUGGCGUUCCCCCCCCCCACCUUCUACCUUCCUCCCCCUCAAAAACAGAGAGACAUUUCGCAGUUAUUUAAAACAAAAAUAAGCUAAUACUAGUUUGCACUGAACAAUCUCCAAACAGAAAAAAAAAUAGGCUCUGAGGGUACUGUCUGAUAUGUAACUGAUGUGCCUUUUGGAGAGAUUUGUGUGCACAGGAGCUGUAGGUGAAUGAGAUUUUGCUACAGAGAAAGCUUUAAAAUUCAUAUUCAAAAUUCAUAUUCUCUCACUUUGCAUAUCUGAUCUGGUAUAAGCACUAUUCUGAUUUUACACCAGCCAGAGUGGUCCUCUCUGUGUGAAGUUUUGCAAUCUCUGCUAGGUACCGCAGCUGUACCGGCAGGAUCCGUGCAGGAAAAGCACUUUGGCAUUCCCAACCUAAAUCUUAUAAUCUGGUUCUAACAGGUGCCUGGAGAAUGGCCCCCUCCCUGUUUCCCAGAAGGUGCUGCCAUUUGUUUCCCACUCCACUGGCCAAGCCUUGGCUGAGCACAGCCCUGGGCAGCCCCUUGACCCAGCAGGGCAGCGGCAGCGCUCCACAUCCUGCUGGCAUGCUCCGAGCGCGGCGGGUUUGCGCAACGCUGCAACUUCUUGUCUGGGGCAAAAGGGACACAAGAGGACUCUGGUUCCUCGUUUAACUACUGUGGGGCAUAUGCCAUGGGUAGCAAAUCCCAAAGAGAUGCUUUCAGCAGCCAAAGAGAGCAGUUAUGUCAUUGCCAGCAGGGGUUGGGCUUGGUGUGCCUCCCUCGGGAUGUCAUCUCUCCUGCUGGGAAGUCCUGGCAUGGCAGGUAGCAGCCAAGCUGCUCCACUUUUGGUGCUUGACCACAGACCUCCCAGACUGUGGGGUUCUUGGCCAGUUUGGCCAUAUAGUAGAACCAGAGAUAUCGUCAUUUAUUUUUUUAGCUCAUUGCCACCUUCAUUGCACAAGUGUCAUUCCACCAUGGCUGAUGUAAUGGUGAGUCAAGUCCUUGGGCUAACGGACUGAACUAUGCCUUGGCUGUAGCCUGCAGACUUCCAGAGGAACCAUCAAAGUUCUCAUUUUGUAUUUGUCCCUAGGAAAGCAAAUGAAAAUAUAUAAUUGUUCUCAAGAUUGCUGAAAGAAGCAAGCCCUUUUUUAAAAUUUUAUUUCUGCGGCCAUGAAUAGUAAAUUUCCCUAUUCAUGACUGGUUUAUAAAAGAGUUUGCGAACUAACCAGAUCUGAAGAACUUUCUUUCUCAGCAAGUAUUGCAGUAAGAGAAUUGUUUCUGGUUUUUAUUACUUUCUCAAUAUUUUUGUUAUCCUCUUUUCCCAGACACGAUUGGAUUUUCCAGUCUUCUGGACAUCAAAGAUUUUGGAGAAGAGAUUGUAUAAACUGGACAGGUUUGAUCUACUUGCUUUUGCAUUUGCAUGUUGUGUUCUUAAGCACCUACCCUCGGGUUUUUCAAGCUUCGGCAAGGGAGAGCACUUUCAAUAUAUAUCAUCACAGCUCUGCUCCACACUGAGGUAUGGAAACCAUCUUGCACAACAUUACACAGACAUAAGAAGGCACCCCAUACUUGAGAAAGGACUGGAGUGGGAAAAACAAGUGUGAUGUUAAGAGCAAAGCACAGCAGAAAAUACUUUAGGAGGAUCUAUAAAAAGUUCAAAUUGGUAAAGCAUGUAUGUGGGUGGGUUAGAAAGAAUAAAGCAUAAUUAAGUUACUGAAGCCUCAGCAGGACUCUGAAUAUUGUUCAGCGUGCAUUGCAGUUCACUUUAAAGAAAUGUCAAGAAUUGCCACAACCUUAGAAUGGGGACUUUUUUGUAGCGUAGCAUUAAUUUCACCAAAUACAUGAAGGCUGCCCUUUCUUGGGCUUUGCGUCAUUGUGCUGCAGGGUACUGGGUGUAUUACAGGAACACCUGAAGGCAAACGUCCCACCCUCUGCAAGCUGGUGACAGAGCAGGGCUGUCCAUAUUAGGCACGGCUGAAAGUCAGAGGAAACUUUGCCAUCCUGCAUGACAAAGGGUGCUGGGUCCCAUCUUCUCCCCGCUGUGGGUAUGGCCCCAUUGGGGUGUCCCUGCCUGCACACUAAUACCAGGAGAAGGGCGGAUGGAUGAGAGGAGGUAGCUUUGCCCUCUCUCCCUCUGAAGUAUCAGGGAACAGAGAAAAGCGUGGCAAUCAGAGAAAAGUCUCCUUGCAGCUACUGAAUAGCGUUUCUAAUUGCUCUGUGAUGUGAACAGCUUAGGUCCGAUGCCCUUGUGCCAUGAGUGACCCAGACACUGCCCUCCUGUGCUCCUCACCAGCCCCUGCUUCCCCCUCAGUGACCACCACAGCAAGACCCAGGCCUGUACUUCUUUACAAAAGCCUGUGUUGUGCCUGAGGCUCACGGAAGAAAACACCACCGUGAGCUUCAUAAAGCAUUUUAUAGGAUGACAGUGCUUCUGCCAUCCUGGAGCAGAUCCAAUCUGGGCCCAGCCAUGUGAGCAGCCUGAUGCACACAGUGCAGGACAGGUGGGUCUCAAAACUGAAAUCAGAUAGGGAAUUUGGCCCCCAGCUCAAUAGGCAGCCUUUCAUUUAAUACUCCUUCUCACAGUUCCCAAAGCCCAAGGUCUCUGGGAGAUGGUUCUGCCCCUCGUCCAGGCCCAUGUCCUGCCCAAAACACCCUUGCAGGAACACUCAGGAGGCUCUGUCAUGAUGGGGGACUCCUGCACCGGCAGAUUAGAGCAACAGUGUGGCUGGGAAGGUCAUGUACAGCAGCUAUACUUGUGAAAUCAUGAAGAGUAAUGAGGAUUUUAGUUGUUAUUUUGCUCAUAAAUACACAUUCUAAUGUGCAGAAAACACACAGCGUUGAAUGAAAAUAUUCUGAUCUUCAGGGAAAAAAAAAAUAUUAGCCAGAAGUGUCAUGCCUUUCCAUAUGUUCCACUUAAAAAAAAAAAAAAAGACCUUUUUUAAAAUUGCUGCCAGCCAACAUUUCAGAAAUAUUUCCUUUGUGUUUCUGUUCAAAGUGAUUUAUGUCCAAGUAGUCUCUAGCUGGUUCUCAAAUUGCAGUAAUGAUUUUUAUUGUUUGUUUAUAGUUUUAUCUGAACAUUUCUGCCUGCCAUGUCAUCUGUUCUGCCCAGAAUAAGUGUCAUUUAUAGGCAACUGCUGUGCCCAUGUAGAGUCCAUUGUUCUGUCUUGUUUCUGACUGUUCACAUACAUUGGAUUUAAGUUUU